rnacentral:lncRNA from 1 species
AGAGCACCUUCUAUUUCUAAUAGCCCAUGAACUAGAUCAGAAUCAUUAUAAAGGAGUCUAUAAGAAGUGAUACCAUCAUUUUUUUCAUUAGGUCCGGUUAGAGACCAAAGGUUUUGAGCGACGGAUCCGGCAGAACAACUCAAAAGAUAAAGAAGUAUCGUUAAUUUCUUCAUGCUUGUUCCAAGUUCCAAGUACCAUUUGUACAAAUCAGAAUCCACCCCGUUACAUGAUUUCUUCUUCAUAUAGAUAGAUAUAGGAUCUAUGGAAAAAUUACUUAGAAGUAGAUUUUGUGAAACAGCCCUUCCUAUCUGAUAGAAAAGUAUACCAUGAUCCUCAACCGAUCUUAUCUGAGAUCUAAAAUCCCAAGUUUGUCUAUGAAGAGCGUGUCUAAUUAUAUUAGUGUCUAUAAUGGAUUUUUUUUGUAUAAUACUAAUCGAUAGCGCCUCAUUGGUAAGUGCUACAAGAUCUCGUAUGUCAGGUGGAGAUCAUAUUCACGCUGGUACUGUAGUAGGUAAACUGGAAGGAGAAAGGGAUAUUACUUUAGGUUUUGUUGAUUUACUACGUGAUGAUUUUGUUGAAAAAGAUAGAAGUCGCGGUAUUUUUUUCACUCAGGAUUGGGUUUCUUUACCUGGUGUUCUGCCUGUUGCUUCAGGUGGUAUUCAUGUUUGGCAUAUGCCUGCUCUGACCGAGAUAUUUGGAGAUGAUUCUGUACUUCAAUUCGGUGGAGGAACUUUAGGACACCCUUGGGGAAAUGCACCUGGUGCCGUAGCGAAUCGAGUAGCUCUGGAAGCAUGUGUACAAGCUCGUAAUGAAGGACGUGAUCUUGCUCGUGAGGGUAAUGAAAUUAUCCGUGAAGCUACCAAAUGGAGUCCUGAAUUAGCUGCUGCUUGUGAAGUCUGGAAGGAGAUCAAAUUUGAAUUCCCAGCAAUGGAUACUAUUUAAUCCAGUAAUUAUCAUUCGUUCUAUUAAUUUCAAUUAAACUCGGCCCAAUCUUUUACUAAAAGGAUUGAGCCGAAUAAAAUACACAAUACAAAAAUACUUCUUGUAUCUAGAAUGAAUCCUAUGGAUCUUUCCGAUUGGUAUAUUUUUUCUAUUUCAUUUCUAUUUUUUGAUUUGGAAUAGAUAUAGUCUAAUUAAUAAUUAUAGCAUUCUAAUUGAAUAUCAUAAUAUAAUAGAAUGAAUGAAUUAAAUAGAAAUAAGUUAGAUUAAAAAAAAAAAAUUAGAAUAGAAAUAUUUUUAUAUUUGUUUUCUCUAUUGUAUUUUUUUUUUUUCAACAUUGACAACAGUGUAUCAAACAAAUAUAAUACGAUCGUGAAUAAAAGGAUGGAUUGACUCAUGUUACAUAGAUUUAUUUUUACUUCGUCAAAUACAAAUAAUGGAUUGUUGUAUUUAGUUUGUAUCAAACAAGAAGUUUUUUCAUUGUAAUUUAAUGUAAUAUGCAACCUUUUUUUAAUAUGAAAGAAUUCUAUCUUUUUUUUAUUUCGAUUGGAUAUACACAUCCUUCUAUUUUUUUUUUUUAGGGUUGCUAACUCAAUGGUAGAGUACUCGGCUUUUAAGUGCGACUCCAUUUUUUACACAUUUCUAUGAACUAAUUGGUUCAUCCAUACCAUCGGUAGGGUUUGUAAGACCACGACUGAUCCAGAAAGGAAUGAAUGGAAAAAGCAGCAUGUCGUAUCAAUGGUGAAUUCUAAAAAUUUUUAUUGGACCCGGCCCAAAUUUUCGUUUGAAUUGUUGGCUCGGAACAAAUGAAUUCAGUUGGGUUUAAUUAAUAAAAGGAUAGAGCUUAGAUGCUCCAAUUAUAGGGAAACAAAAAGCAACGAGCUUUCAUUUUUUAUUUGAAUGAUUACCACAUCUAAUUAUACGUUAAAAAAGGAUUAGUGCUUGCUGUGGAAAAAGUUUUUCCAACGAAUGGAUUAAGGAUUUUUGUUAUGAGUCCUAAUUAUUAGCUAUUCUCCAUUAUGUUAUGGGGUAGCAAUAAAUGUGUAGAAGAAAGAGUAUAUUGAUAAAGAUAUUUUUUUCCAAAAUCAAAAGAGCGAUUGGUCCAAAAAAUAAAGGAUUUCUAACUAGCUUGUUGUCCUAGAACAAUUAGAUGGAACAAGCGAGCGGAGAUAGUCCAUUAAUGGGUUUUAACUUGUUUUCUAGGUAUCUAUUCAUAUAUAUAUUUUUUUUUUUCAAUUCUAAUAUAUAUAUAGAAUACCUUGUUUUGACUGUAUCGCACUAUGUAUCAUUUGAUAAUCCAAUGAAUCUCUGAUCCUUUGACCAAAUAGAAUUUCUAAAAUGAAGGAAUAUCAAGUAUAUUUAGAACGAGCUAGAUCUCGCCAACAGGACUUCCUAUACCCACUUAUUUUUCGGGAGUAUAUUUAUGGACUUGCUUAUAGUCAUAAUUUUAAUAGAUCCGUUUUUCUGGAAAAUGUAGGUUCUGACAGUAAAUAUAGUUUACUAAUUGUAAAACGUUUAAUUACUCGAAUGUAUCAACAGAAUCAUUUAAUCAUUUCGGCUA